rnacentral:rRNA from 1 species
ACGGCCCAGACUGCUACGGGAGGCAGCAGUGGGGAAUAUUGCACAAUGGGCGGAAGCCUGAUGCAGCAACGCCGCGUGCGGGAUGACGGCCUUCGGGUUGUAAACCGCUUUCGCCUGUGACGAAGCGUGAGUGACGGUAAUGGGUAAAGAAGCACCGGCUAACUACGUGCCAGCAGCCGCGGUGAUACGUAGGGUGCGAGCGUUGUCCGGAUUUAUUGGGCGUAAAGGGCUCGUAGGUGGUUGAUCGCGUCGGAAGUGUAAUCUUGGGGCUUAACCCUGAGCGUGCUUUCGAUACGGGUUGACUUGAGGAAGGUAGGGGAGAAUGGAAUUCCUGGUGGAGCGGUGGAAUGCGCAGAUAUCAGGAGGAACACCAGUGGCGAAGGCGGUUCUCUGGGCC